UCUGCAAUUAGUUUUAUAAUUAGCUCAUGUUUAGUCCUCCUAAUUAGCAUCCGAAUAUCCAAUAUGACACUGCAAAAGUUUAGCACCCAUACAUGAGCUUCUUUGUGCUUCGACAGGGCAGACAGCACCUCCGGUGGCAAGCAAUCAUCCUCUGGUUUCGUGCCCUCCACUACCUGAAAAAAAUGGUCUUUCCAAUCUUGCACACAAGAUAGUCAGUUCAAUGUCGAAGAAUAGGAUUCUCUGUUCUUCCUCCGGAAAUUCAGCAUCUCCAGAGGUAUCGGUACCAGAUGUUAUUGGCGAAGCAGAAUUUAGUCGAGAUGCCCAAUCUGUGCCUUCCAAUGGUCAGCUUAAUACACUUGUCUGCGGAAGAAAUGUUGAUGAGGCCUGUGAUAUGCUUUCCAUUCCAGAAGUAAGAAAACAGAACAUCGGCAUCGCUUCAUCUCUCAGAAACCAGCAGAUACAGGAAAGACCAUUCAUUGUCAAGGCACUCAGUGUGAAGAAAGGCAUUUCCAAGAACAGAAGAGGGGAAACACACCCUAAAGCACAUCCGGGGAAAAAUGAUGCAUCUGAUCAUGUGAGUUCCCUUCAUGGUCUACUAAAGUUGCAUGCAGGCUAUUUACAGUUCUUGUCCAUGCCAAUAUUUUUGCAGGUGCAAAUUCAGUUGUAGGAAAGCAGGAAUUCCUCUGGUAAGGAAAUUAUUUGUGCUUCGAGUGCCUCUCUAGAAUGUCAGAAAACUUCAACUUGGACUCGACAGGUGUCAGGAGGGACAAGUAGUUGUUCAGAUACUGAAGGUGUUAACUCUAAGAAAUUGGCUAGAAAGGACGGUACUGGUCUGUUGGACAAAGAGCUGGCUGCUACGAUCAACAGGGUUUGUCAAGCGAACAGAAAUGCAGAUGUGUGCACAGAUACUGCUGCUACACUAGUGACAAAAAGCAACCGUCUUACAGAGAUACCAUGAUCAUAUCAGUUACCUCACAGAAAAAGACCAGCUGAAAGCACGGUUGCUGGAGAAGACAACUUCCUUGUCCCAAAUUGAUGAGCGACUUGACAAAAAGGAACAAACUAUAGCUAAGCUUGAGGAGGAACUUGGGCGCGCUCGCGGUGAAGCGCACAAGAUAGCGGAGGAGAAAGAACGUGAAGACGAAGAGCUCUCAAGACUGAAUGCGGCUAACAGCAGUGUCGAGGAAGCGUGUGCUGCAGAACUGCAGUUUCAGAGCAUAGAUCGAAACAAUCUGGAUUGAGCGAUCUAGCAUAGAUCAGAGCAUGAUCGUACUUCCACAUGCUUUGUGCCAAUGGCGUUUGUUCGAUUCCCAACGUGCGUCUAGCUGUUGUAAGCUUCCAGCCGAUCUUUAGAUUCCUUCACCCGUAGUCAAAUUGCCAAUGCCAGGUUCUGUCUCUCCGGAAACAUGAAUGUUUGGCCAAAUUACGGAUAAUUCAAUCUUGGUGUCAAAAAAUUUGUAAUGAUAAACUUUACAGUGACGAAAAAUUUUAGGAAACUUUUACUGGUCUCGUUCUUAUCCAUUUAGUCCCUCUUUGGCAAGGCUCAUCAAGCGGCUUCUCGAGCGGCUUUUACGAAGCCAUGCGCUCACGAGAAGAAGCCAGACGGAAGCCCCGCACCGUGUCUGCGUUCCUCCGCGGGCGAGAAGCUUGAAAUUGUAGCUUAUACCGGCUCAUCCGGUCAUCCCAACCUAAAACGCUAAAAGAUGCAUGUGCCCCUGCUAUUUCAUGGAAACUAGUAGAUUUGCCACUGGGCCAAGCUGCGGUUGGGGCGGAGGCCGGCGGCCGGGGUGGAGCUGGGUGAGCGCGCACAGGCAGCGGCUGGGGCGGAGCUCGGCGGGGGGAGUGGAUGAAGCGGUGGGCCGAAAGGAAAAUGGAAAGAAGGGGCGGCGCUUACCAGCA